CAGGUCAGCCAGAUGGCUGCGGCGCUGAUUUUUCAGCGUCGAGGAAAGUCCGCACUCCACAGGGCAAGUAACCGGGUAACACCCGGGGCGGGGAUUCUACGGAAGAACCCGCCGGACAGGACCACAGAAACAUACCGCCCACAAGGGCAAGGGUGAAAUGGCGGUGUAAAAGACCACCGGCGCUGCAGCAAUGCAGCGGCCAGGCAACCCCUUACUGGAGCAAGGCCAAGCAGGGACCAAGUCCGCUUCGGCGGCGGGAAGCGGCCCGUUUUCUUAUGAGUCCCGGGUAGGCUGCACGAGCUGGAUGGCGACAUCCAGCCAAGAGAGAUGGCUAUCGGUCUGGAAACCGUGCAACGCGCAUACCUUUCCAGGCAACAGAAUGCGGCUUAUGAGCUGACCUGUGUU
rnacentral:RNase_P_RNA from 1 species